UACGUAGGGGGCAAGCGUUGUUCGGAAUUACUGGGCGUAAAGGGUGUGUAGGCGGUUGGAUAAGUGUGGUGUGAAAUCUCCCGGCUUAACUGGGAGGGUGCGCUACAAACUGUCUGACUAGAGUGUGGGAUGGGAGAGUGGAAUUCCUGGUGUAGCGGUGAAAUGCGUAGAUAUCAGGAGGAACACCGGUGGUGUAGACGGCUCUCUGGACCAUAACUGACGCUGAGACACGAAAGCGUGGGUAGCAAACAGG
rnacentral:rRNA from 1 species